GUGCUCGCUUCGGCAGCACAUAUACUGAAAAUUGGAACGAUACAGAGAAGAUUAGCAUGGCCCCUGCGCAAGGAUGACACGCAAAUUAUUCGUGAAGCGUUCAAAAAAAAA